UUUUGUUUUCCAUCAGUAAAACUGCAUUUAGGAACCAUUAACUUCAAUGUUCUGGUGUCAACUGAUUGCUUGGGCCUUGUCAAUUGCACUCAGCCUGAUCUACAAAAGGAAUGGUCCCUGAGCUGUUCUUGUGUCCUCUGCACAGUUCCAUAUUGCUCUUAUCAGCAGGAGAAGAGCAUGUUGGUGAACAGUGCUUCAGUCAGCAUGCCUGCAAACAACCUGAUGGGCUUCCUCCUGGUGAGUCUAAAGUUCUUACCUGAAGAAAAUAUCUGAAGCUACAGAGGCACUGAGAAUACAAGCCCAGAAGGCAAGAU
rnacentral:lncRNA from 1 species